AGAACAGCCCACCCUGGCCGCACAUCCUAGGAAAUCCUAUCCUCCCUGCAUGUGUGAACUCAGAGGCUGCAGCAGAAACCCGCAUACCACUGGUCUCCCAGGACGGAAGCUGGAGUGGAAUUAGAGCUGCAGCUGAGGCCUAUGCCACAGCCAUAGCAACUCUGGAUCCCAGCCACAUCUGCCACCUCUGCUCCAGCUUGCAGCCAUGUCGGAGCCUUAACCCAAUGAGCAAAGCCAGGGAUUUAACCCGCAACAUCACGGAGACAACCUUGGCUCUUUAACCCACUGAUCCACAAUGGGAACGCCGCAGCCAGAUCUUUUCUAGGUGGUGAGGGCCCAAAGGUUUUGACUAAUAUGUUCUAUUACAGUUCAGGCCACAUUUGACUCAUGGGACCGAAGGGAAUGAGUUUUGUGGGUUAAGGAUAUAGAUAGAGGAUGUUCCAACAGUUUUAGUUAGAAAUAGACAUGAGUAGUUCCCGUCGUGGCGCAGUGGUUAACGAAUCCGACUAGGAACCAUGAGGUUGCGGGUUCGAUCCCUGCCCUUGCUCAGUGGGUUAAGGAUCCGGCGUUGCCGUGAGCUGUGUUGUAGGUUGCAGACGCAGCUCGGAUCCCGCAUUGCUGUGGCUCUGGCGUAGGCCGGUGGCUACAGCUCCGAUUCAACCCCUAGCCUGGGAACCUCCAUAUGCCGCCGGAGCGGCCCAAGAAAUAGCAAAAACAACAACAACAACAAAAAAAGACAAAAAAAAAAAAAUAGACAUGAAAUGAAAUGCAGAUUCUUACUAAAGAACAA
rnacentral:lncRNA from 1 species